UACGUAGGGUGCGAGCGUUAAUCGGAAUUACUGGGCGUAAAGCGUGCGCAGGCGGUUGUGCAAGACAGAUGUGAAAUCCCCGGGCUUAACCUGGGAACUGCAUUUGUGACUGCACGGCUAGAGUGUGUCAGCGGAGGGUAGAAUUCCACGUGUAGCAGUGAAAUGCGUAGAUAUGUGGAGGAAUACCGAUGGCGAAGGCAGCCCCCUGGGAUAACACUGACGCUCAUGCACGAAAGCGUGGGGAGCGAACAGG
rnacentral:rRNA from 1 species